rnacentral:lncRNA from 1 species
AUGUAAAUAAAAGCAAGAAUAGACUCACGAUAAUAUAUAGAUAUUCACAUAUUGUGCAGCCGACAUUAUUAAAGUAUGAACCUGUUUCGAUUAAUGAAGAUGAAGAUAUUGAAGUAAUCUUUUCAACGGUUAGUUCGCAUCCAUGUUUAUCGGGUGCAGAGUUGUAUUUAGAAGUGCAGCCUAUUGAAACUGAACAGGAUAAAUAUAAAGUAGCCGAUAGGGAUAUAAGAACAACUUAGAACACUGAACAAAUCGAUCCAUCUCGAACAACUCAAAGUACUGAAUAGAUCAUUCCAUCUAGAACAACUCAAGGCACUGAAC